CCGGCACGGGUGAGUAACACGUAUCCAACCUGCCGUCUACUCUUGGACAGCCUUCUGAAAGGAAGAUUAAUAUAAGAUGGCAUCAUGAGUCCGCAUGUUCACAUGAUUAAAGGUAUUCCGGUAGACGAUGGGGAUGCGUUCCAUUAGAUAGUAGGCGGGGUAACGGCCCACCUAGUCUUCGAUGGAUAGGGGUUCUGAGAGGAAGGUCCCCCACAUUGGAACUGAGACACGGUCCAA
rnacentral:rRNA from 1 species